CUUUGACUAAGGUGGUAAGGAGUCUGCCUGCGCUGAUCCUCAGCAGGACGUCCUUCUGCAAGGCUUGCUUCAUAGGAGACAAAAAGAGCUGCUUCAGACCGCUCGUGCGUAGCGUAUGUGCACGAGGAUGUGGCUUUGCUGUGCUGUACUGCCGUACUGCUUCCCAAAAGACACCAAGCCUCCUACCCGGCAGAGUAUGUGGCCAGCUGCAUACAGAGCUCCGUUUGCUGGCUGACACGCUGCUGCCAAGGUGCUGUUGUUGUGAAGAACCAGCCCAGAACUGCGAUCUGUCAGACAACGACUGCCAUGUGCUGUGCUGGCAUGAGAAGGUCUGGAACAGCUUCAUAGCCGCAGACCGCGACUAUCACUUUAACAGAACUGUGUCUUUAUCGUGCUGUUCCAAUCAUUUUCAUCGCCUGAAAGAGGUAAGAGUCUGUGAGGAUGCUGCUGUACAGAUCAGUGCCCAACAAACCCUAGGCAACUUGAAGCGGAUGAUACCAAUUCGCUAUCCCUCUUUCCAGACAGUAAUAAAACCCAUGACAUCAACAAAAAUAAAUGGAAUGUCUGCAGAGAGCCAAGAGUCGCUGCAGAACCACGGGCAGGCAUUGCAUCGUGGCAUGUGUGUAAUAAAAUUUCGCGAUAAUUCCAGUAACCCGACAGUAAAGUAGUCUGCGUACAACUGUACCUCACACAUACGAAUCGCUUGACUUCUG
rnacentral:lncRNA from 1 species